CUAAUACAUGCAAGUCGAACGAACUCUGGUAUUGAUUGGUGCUUGCAUCAUGAUUUACAUUUGAGUGAGUGGCGAACUGGUGAGUAACACGUGGGAAACCUGCCCAGAAGCGGGGGAUAACACCUGGAAACAGAUGCUAAUACCGCAUAACAACUUGGACCGCAUGGUCCGAGUUUGAAAGAUGGCUUCGGCUAUCACUUUUGGAUGGUCCCGCGGCGUAUUAGCUAGAUGGUGGGGUAACGGCUCACCAUGGCAAUGAUACGUAGCCGACCUGAGAGGGUAAUCGGCCACAUUGGGACUGAGACACGGCCCAAACUCCUACGGGAGGCAGCAGUAGGGAAUCUUCCACAAUGGACGAAAGUCUGAUGGAGCAACGCCGCGUGAGUGAAGAAGGGUUUCGGCUCGUAAAACUCUGUUGUUAAAGAAGAACAUAUCUAAGAGUAACUGUUCAGGUAUUGACGGUAUUUAACCAGAAAGCCACGGCUAACUACGUGCCAGCAGCCGCGGUAAUACGUAGGUGGCAAGCGUUGUCCGGAUUUAUUGGGCGUAAAGCGAGCGCAGGCGGUUUUUUAAGUCUGAUGUGAAAGCCUUCGGCUCAACCGAAGAAGUGCAUCGGAAACUGGGAAACUUGAGUGCAGAAAAGGACAGUGGAACUCCAUGUGUAGCGGUGAAAUGCGUAGAUUUAUGGAAGAACACCAGUGGCGAAGGCGGCUGUCUGGUCUGUAACUGACGCUUAGGCUCGAAAGUAUGGGUAGCAAACAGGAUUAGAUACCCUGGUAGUCCAUACCGUAAACGAUGAAUGCUAAGUGUUGAAGGGUUUCCGCCCUUCAGUGCUGCAGCUAACGCAUUAAGCAUUCCGCCUGGGGAGUACGGCCGCAAGGCUGAAACUCAAAGGAAUUGACGGGGGCCCGCACAAGCGGUGGAGCAUGUGGUUUAAUUCGAAGCUACGCGAAGAACCUUACCAGGUCUUGACAUACUAUGCAAAUCUAAGAGAUUAGACGUUCCCUUCGGGGACAUGGAUACAGGUGGUGCAUGGUUGUCGUCAGCUCGUGUCGUGAGAUGUUGGGUUAAGUCCCGCAACGAGCGCAACCCUUAUUAUCAGUUGCCAGCAUUAAGUUGGGCACUCUGGUGAGACUGCCGGUGACAAACCGGAGGAAGGUGGGGAUGACGUCAAAUCAUCAUGCCCCUUAUGACCUGGGCUACACACGUGCUACAAUGGAUGGUACAACGAGUUGCGAACUCGCGAGAGUAAGCUAAUCUCUUAAAGCCAUUCUCAGUUCGGAUUGUAGGCUGCAACUCGCCUACAUGAAGUCGGAAUCGCUAGUAAUCGCGGAUCAGCAUGCCGCGGUGAAUACGUUCCCGGGCCUUGUACACACCGCCCGUCACACCAUGAGAGUUUGUAACACCCAAAGUCGGUGGGGUAACCUUUUAGGAACCAGCCGCCUAAGGUGGGACAGAUGAUUAGGGUGAAGUCGUAACAAUGUGUAGCGCU
rnacentral:rRNA from 2 species